GCUCUAAAAAGACACAGUGUACAGAAAAAAGUGGGGAAACUUGAAGUAAUAAAUGCUUUCAUGUGUUUCUACCAAUUGAGGUGAAUUGUAGUCAUCUCAUAGCCAGAGAGACAAAUGGACUCCUGCCCCAUUCUACAUACAGAAGCUGGUUGGUCUACCAGUUAAUUUACUAGCAUCCUAAACCAUAGGUGAGUAUUGCUGGCCAGUUCGAGGAAUAAAGAAGUCAUAUGGCACAACAGGUAACGGUACUGCAUUAUAAGCGCAGAAUGGCUGAGCCACAACAUCUAUUAUCGGAGGCAUUUGCAUCACUCAGCCUAAGGUAUGGUCAUCCUGGGUUAACCAGCUUAUAUAGACUGUUAAAAAAAUCAAAGAUGAGUGAUGUGAGAUACAUAGCUGUAUUCAUAAGCAAGAAGGGUGACAUAAAUGUAUUCUACUAACUUUGUAGGAGUCCCUGGUGGUGCAAUGGGUUAAACCUUUGUGCUGGCAGAACUGCUGUCUGACAGGUCAGUGGUUUGAAUCUGGGGAGAGCGGGUUGAGCUCCCUCUGUCAGCUUCAGCUUCCGAUGCAGGGACAUGAGAGAAGCCUCCUACAAGGAUGGUAAAACAUCAAACAUCCGGGCACCCCCUGGGCAAUGUCCUUGCAGAUGGCCAAUUCUCUCACACUAGAAGCGACUUGCAGUUUGCCAAGUCACUCUUGACACACACAAAAACCCAACUUUGUGUUAUAUAUAUUUGUAAAAGUUAUAAAAAAAGUUAAGCUUCAUAUUAAGCUCUCAACCAAAAGGGUAAACCAGGAACAGAUACAAUUCUCUGAUGAGAUAAUCACACCUAAUGGAACGAGUCAAUAAUUUGCUGCUGUUCUCUUCACUUUUUCAGGUUUGUUUACUAUUCAUUAAUGGUGUGAAAAUGCAAUCACCAUAAGAUGGGAGAACCAAUUGAGGCAGCUGGCCUUGUUCUGUUUGAUGAUAGGGCAGGCCCCGUCUCAAAACCCGUUAAAGAAGCAACUUACUUGAAGAUCCUUACUCAGAGAUCCUUCAAGACAGAAUCCACUGAUGGAUAGGAACAACUUGAGUGGAUGGGAUACCAACCAACCAACCAACCAAUGUAGUCAAUCCUCUACAUUCACAGCAGUUGGGGCCAUAGGGCCCUCACAUAAAUGGAAUAAUGGAGAAUUAAAAAAACGCAGAAAUAACUUCUUUCUAGGAAUCUUAAGGUCCUCCCAACAUUAUUCUGUGGUCAACUUUCUCUAGCAGUUAGUUGCCUGCAUUUUAAUGAAAUCCGCAAGAGUCAAGUCCUCAGAUAUGGAGAACUGACUGUAACCAUUUUGUUGAAAGAAAAACAUAUUUCAAACCUGAAUGGCAGACCCUCCGCAAAGAACGGGAAGGUUUUUGUAGAAAUUAAACACAGAGUUGCUAGCUAUUAUGUUAAGCUCUGGCAUUGUUGCAUGCUGAAGCCUGCAUUCAUUUUCCCCUUGCUUUGGCUGGCUCCUGUCCUUGCAUUCUAUAAAACCUGUAGUCCAAUAAAUCUUCUCACUGAGCUUCU